rnacentral:rRNA from 1 species
GAUGAACGCUGGCGGCGUGCCUAAUACAUGCAAGUCGAGCGAACGGACGAGAAGCUUGCUUCUCUGAUGUUAGCGGCGGACGGGUGAGUAACACGUGGAUAACCUACCUAUAAGACUGGGAUAACUUCGGGAAACCGGAGCUAAUACCGGAUAAUAUUUGAACCGCAUGGUUCAAAAGUGAAAGACGGUCUUGCUGUCACUUAUAGAUGGAUCCGCGCUGCAUUAGCUAGUUGGUAAGGUAACGGCUUACCAAGGCAACGAUGCAUAGCCGACCUGAGAGGGUGAUCGGCCACACUGGAACUGAGACACGGUCCAG